GAAGGUGUAUCUAGAAAGACAAAUUAGAGCUUGAAAAGUAAAGCAUUUCAUUUACAUUGAAAAGUAUAUUGUGUAAUUCAAUUUAAUUUGAUAAUAAAAAUUUAUUAAUUUUUUUUUGUUUAAAAAUUUAUUUAAUAAAAUUAAUUUUAAAUUAAGUUUUUUUUUGUAUAAUAUAUAGAUCAAAUAAUUUAUAUAAUAGUUAAUUAGUAUUGUAAAAGAGUAUUGAAAUAUUUGAAAAAGUUUUAAAUUAAAAGUAGAUUUUAUAUAUUGUACCUUGUGUAUCAGGGUUUAUUAAUUAAAAGUUAAAAAUAUUUAAUUUUUCUCGAAUUUAAGAGGGUUAAUUUAUUAUUUAAUUUUUUGUUUCAUAAAAAUUUAAAAUAAUAAAUUAGAAAUGAAAUGUUAUUCGUUCUUAAAGAUAUCUAGUUUUUUAAGAAAUAAAUUAAAUUUAGAUUAUUAAUAAAUAAUUGUUUAUUUAAAUAAUAAAUUAUUAUUAAUAAUUAAUAUUUUAAGGGAUAAGCUUUAAAGUAAGUUUUAUAAUAAUUUUUUAAUUUAAAAAUUAUAGAUUUAGAAAUAGUCAUUAAUUAUAAAAAUGUUAUAAUUUAUUUUAAAUUAAAAAUAAUUUUUAUUAAUUUAAGUUUUUAUUAAAAUAAUUUUUAAAAUUAUAUAAAAAUUAAAAUAAUGAUAAAAUUAGUAUAUUUUAAUUGUUUAAAAUAAAUAAAUUGAAAGGUUAAAUUAAGGAACUUGGCAAAUAAAUACUCGCCUGUUUAACAAAAACAUGUCUUUUUGAAUAUAAUUUAAAGUCUAAUCUGCCCACUGAAAAAUUUUAAAGGGCCGCGGUAUU
rnacentral:rRNA from 1 species